ACAUACAAUGACUCUCGGCAACGGAUAUCUCGGCUCUUGCAUCGAUGAAGAACGUAGCGAAAUGCGAUACUUGGUGUGAAUUGCAGAAUCCCGUGAACCAUCGAGUAUUUGAACGCAAGUUGCGCCCGAAGCCAUUAGGCCGAGGGCGCGCCUGCCUGGGUGUCACAC
rnacentral:rRNA from 1 species